rnacentral:rRNA from 1 species
GAUGAACGCUGGCGGCGUGCCUAAUACAUGCAAGUCGAGCGAACAGACGAGGAGCUUGCUCCUCUGACGUUAGCGGCGGACGGGUGAGUAACACGUGGAUAACCUACCUAUAAGACUGGGAUAUCUUCGGGAAACCGGAGCUAAUACCGGAUAAUAUAUUGAACCGCAUGGUUCAAUAGUGAAAGACGGUUUUGCUGUCACUUAUAGAUGGAUCCGCGCCGCAUUAGCUAGUUGGUAAGGUAACGGCUUACCAAGGCAACGAUGCGUAGCCGACCUGAGAGGGUGAUCGGCCACACUGGGACUGAGACACGGUCCAGACUCCUACGGGAGGCAGCAGUAGGGAAUCUUCCGCAAUGGGCGAAAGCCUGACGGAGCAACGCCGCGUGAGUGAUGAAGGUCUUCGGAUCGUAAAACUCUGUUAUUAGGGAAGAACAAAUGUGUAAGUAACUAUGCACGUCUUGACGGUACCUAAUCAGAAAGCCACGGCUAACUACGUG